rnacentral:ncRNA from 1 species
AUUUUGGCGCCCCUAGGCGCCAUCAACCAUACCAUCGAAAUUAUAU